AUGCCCAAGAUCCUGCGCUACUACCUCGACGACUCCAUGUCGUUGGUACCGCAUGGCGCCGCAGGGAGCAUGGUGAUGCUCUCGUUGCCGCCGCUCACGACGGAGAACUACACGGUGUGGGCGAUCAAGGCGGAGGCUAUCCUCGACGCCUCGAGCCUUUGGGAGGCCGUGUCUCCGACGGACGUCGCGGCGGUGGAUGGGAAGAAGGACAAGACGGCGAAGGCGCAACUCUUCGGCGCGCUCUCGGAGGACCUUCUCAUGCAGGUGUCGACAAAGAAGAUGGCGAAGGAGGUGUGGGACAGCCUCAAGACGAGGUUCGUCGGUGCCGACCGUGUCAAGGCGGCGCGGCUCUCCACUCUUUGCGGGGAGUUUGACAAGUUGCGCAUGGAGGAGGGCGAGUCACUGGACGUGUACGCCGGCAAGAUCGGCGGCAUGGCGAUGAGGUACGCCGGCCUCGGCUCCACGCUCGGCGACGCCGCCAUGGUGAAGAAGCUCCUCGACACGGUGCCCGACCGGUUGUAUUCCGCGGUGGCCGGGAUCGAGCAGUUCUGCGACAUGGAGACCAUGGCAUUCGAGGAGGCGCUGAGCAGGCUCAAGGCGUUCGACGAGCGCUUACGGCGACACACGCAGGACGGC
rnacentral:rRNA from 1 species